rnacentral:lncRNA from 1 species
CUGACCCCAAGGGCUGGCCCUGUGAAUUGCUCCCCUGGGGGUAACAGGCUCCGUUUGCUUACCGCGGAACAAUUCGAGGCAAAAUGUUGCUUUGUUCUUCACCGGUACGUGAUGCUGAGCGUCGUGUGCCUUGAACGUGUACAAGCGUGAUUCCUGCCACCAGUCGUCCGGGUGCAGCUCACAGUUCAGUUUGCAAGAGGUACCACCGCUUGGGAUGGAGGUGGAGGUUACCAACACUAACUACUCAUUCCUGCACCAGUUUCCUGGAUGGCUGAGCCACUUUAUUGACCAUUUUGUACAGGAAGAAAUAUGUGGAAAUAAUUUACCUGAAGAAAUGGCAAUUUGUGCUGUGCAUUCCACUACAUCUGCUAUGAAGCAGUACGAUAAGAAAUACACUUUAGUCUAACAGUUCUAAUGGUUCGGAGUGCUAGACCAUGAAUCCCUUCUGCACCUAGAGAGGCAUUUGUCUUUACAAAAAGCUCUAUCUGAACAAUUCAUGACAGUUAAUAAAGAAAGCACUUCGAGUCCUGACA